rnacentral:lncRNA from 1 species
CUCCCUUGUACUUGCAAACUGAAACUUCAGAAGUCAUACUGAACAUUACAGAUGGAUUCUAACUGAAACCACAAGAUGCUUGUAGCACCAUGGCAAGUUAGUUUUGGCUGUUUUGCUCAAACACAAGCUACAGUGAACAAACUGAAACAAGCAGAUAUAGGGGCAUUAGAACUUCACUUCACUUCACUAUUUCCAUGUUGCAAUUGCAUCUGGGAAAGUAUUACAAGUACACAAAUCCUUUGAAUCCUGUAUACCAGUAUGUAUCCCUAUGUACACCCAAAUAAUGAGCUUCCUCUCAAUCAGAACCGACAAAAAAUGGAGAAAGAAGAAGAGGAAUUUAGUGAUCUAUCUAUGGCAUCUACAUCCUUUUGUAUGUAUUUGCAGUGCUUCUCUAACGAAUGAAUCCCCUGGUGUAGAGAAGAAUGAGCAGGGAAACCAAAGUGACAACAUUUAUCAGUCUCUUCACCUUGUCCACUGUCCAGCUUCCUUCAGACAAACUGGGCAGCCUAUCCUCCUGCUCCGUCACCGCAAGAAGCGAACCCAUCAUCUCGUCAUGAAAGACACUGAAUUCG